AGGCCCCGGGAAGGUGGGGGGACCUCAGCCAGAUAGUCAUGGGGGUACCUGGGCCAUGCUGACAGCUCUCAGGCAGGUCCAUCCCAGGACAGGGGCAUGUCACCUCCUGGGGGUGCUGAGGGGCACCUGCCCAGCCCACCACCAGCAACAACCCUUCUCAGACUCCCCAGAAUGCUGCCCCUGCCCAACCACAGGCAGCUGGCAGCCCCUGCCCUCCCUGAGCCCAGAUGUGGGGGCUGUGGGGCCAUGGCCUGGGCCUCAGGGCUCUGCAUCUCCUGCCUUCCAGGGAGAAGGAGCUGCCCGUCUCCAGCCCCCACGAGGCCAAAGUGAGAGGCCGUCCAGGGCGCCUGGCAGGAUGUGGAUGGUAGACUUAGGGCCAGCUGUCCGCAAACCCCGUCCCCCAGGACGUCUCCAGGGAAACAUCACCAGGAGACCCGGUGCGACUACAAGUGACUAACAAUGCUCAGGAAAUGGGGCCACUACCAUCAGAGUGAGAAGCUGCAUCACUGGGUCUACAAGGGGUCCCACCCCAGGUGCGGGGACAGGUGUGGUUGUGUUUGCUUGACAUCGAGAAGGUUAAAGUCAGGAACCCAGGGGAAAAAAAAAGAAAAAGAAAAAAAAGGAACCAGGGAAAUACCAGGUAGGGCUUUUCCACUCUUGGCAGAUGCAUGGCCCUGAGGGGAGGCCUGGGCAAGAGCUGAGGGGAACCUGGGGAGACGGGGGAGGUCACCUGCCUGGGGACCCAGGGUGGCCCCAGCAUCUCCUGGUGUCUCUCUGACAUGAGGGCCCCGUCCACCUCUCUGCUGCCCCCACCUCAGUCCCACUGUCCCUGGAGCAGGGUGGCCCAGGGUCCAGAGAGGGACAGGGCUGCGGGGCUCUGAGCUCCUCCUGGGCAGGGUGAUGGGAGCUGGCACCCUGGAUAGGCCUGGAGCCCCAAGUGGGACUGAACAGGUGGGCUGGUGCCAAGUUCCUGCUAGACGAAGCAGGAUGAGCUCUGGCCCUCAGGUAGGCCCCAUGGGCACAGGGGGCAGUUGUGUUGUCCCUGGCUUCACAGGGGAAGGAAGGAGGUUUCUGCAGGACACACUCACAUGGUGGCCAGCAGUGCCCCCUGCUUAGGAUGGCAGUUGGUGACAGUUAGGGUUCUGUGUUCCUGAUGCUGGCUCCUCCUCCCUGAUUCUCCCCACAGGAAAUGAAGGAGGAGGCCCAGGUCUCCUCCCAGGACAUCAAACAAAUAGAUCUAGACAUCAACAGAACCUUCCGCAACCAUAUCAUGUUCUGGGACCGCUAUGGGGUUGGGUGAGGCUGCUGGGCAAACAGGGUUCCGGGAGCCCCAGGGGCCUUCUGGGUAGGGAACAUGGGGUCUCUGAAGGCCAGGGGGAAUGAUGGCAGCAAAAAAACAAAAACAAAACCAAAAAAUCCUCAAAACACUCCUGCAUGGUAAAGUUUUUGGGAUGACCCACGUGCCCCCCACCCCCCGGGGUCUUGGGGAUGGGGAGGCCACCAGGAUGGGGCCUCCAGGUAUCACUGUGUGAGCUGAACCCCAAGGGG